GAGAGAAACCAACCAGUUCCUGCAUGCAUGAUCCCAGGGAGUAUGGUCAGUCUAACGAUAUUUCCUGGGGUUGUGCGGUGUAUGGGACACAGGACAUGCUGCUUUGCCAAAACGCCUAAUGAUCCUGAGGUCCACUACUGAUGAUGUGUCCCAAAAUUCUCUGACCUGGAUGAAGACUGUUCCAUCAAAACCUAACUACGUAGUCUGCCUAUUCUCCUUUUGCUUUUCUUUUUUUCUUCUGCUCCUCCUUUAGAGUGGGUGAGGACAAAGUAGGAAGAACCCUGAGUGACAUGCCAUGGCCAGUGCCUUGCCGUGGGCUCUCUACUCCAAACUGUGGCGUCAAAUACAGACACUUUGGGACCCUAGAAAUAAGACUCAACAAUGGACUGUCCUGAAGCCACCAACCCAAAGUGUCUCUAUCUUUCUUGGCUCUGAUUGGUUGUUUCAGUCCAGGCCCAGUGGAUUCUUGCAAACACCAUUAGAAGCACUAGGAGGAUCCAGAUGAACCUGAUUUUUUUUUUUUUUUUUUUACAAUUAUCUGUCUCAUGUUCUACUGUCAGGAUAUAGUGAAAGUUUCAGCAAAUAUGACAAAAAGUUACCCACUGCAUCUUACCUACCCUGUCACCCACGUUUCCAGAAAGACUGUACUAUAAAAGGCAUCUAGUUAAUUCUUAUCAAUGGGAAAGUUGGUGUCGCGAGUGGUGGGACUCCAAAUACAGCUGUGAGGGGUUAAGGGUUAAAGUCCAUGCCAAAAACCAAAGGACCAAUGCAUAUGAGUAUGAGUAUGAUCAGUGGGUGACUGUUUGCACCUCUUGCAAAUAUCACUUGUAUCUGAGUACAUUUUUGCCAACACAUAUUUAUCCAGAAACAGCCCUAUAGGAACUGUGGUUUGGUAAAAUGUUUAUUUGCAGGCCUGGAUAAGAGAUAAAUUAUUUAUUAUUAAAGAUGGAAAUCUUCA